GGGAGAGAAGAAAUUGGUUCCUGGUAAAUACACUGUUGUAACCAGUUAUAAUAAAGGCAACUCAAAUGGCUUGAUCCUGAACAGUGGAGAGGUAGUUCAGCUAAUCCAUGAAGGAGCAGAUGGUCUUUGGUAUCUUAGGAAUUUGAGCACAAACAAAGAAGGAUGGGUUCCUAUCAACAUUUUGAUACCGUUACUCAGCAACUCAAAAUCUAUUUUCUCUCUCAGCAGCUCAGAAUCUACAGCGGGUUCAAGUACACUGAGUUCAUCUUCAAGUUGUAGUGAAAGUUGCAAUGUCAGUAGUAGCACUUUCUCAGAUACUAAAGGUUAAAUUGAAAAUUCCACCACAACUCUCUGAAGAUUUAAAACUGCCAAUGUGACUAUCAGAUGUUAAAGAAGUAAAGAAGCAUCAUAAUUGCACAUCUCUCAGUUGUUCCUCUUGUGUGUAAAGAUGGUUUAGUGGGUAUUCUUGAAGAACCUGAAUAUGUUGGUAACGGAUUAGUGGGAAUAACACUUUUGGAAGCUGCAUCAUAGAAACCUAUCACUCUUCGAGAAUGAAAUGGACCUUGGCAUGGAUAACCUGGGAAGAAUAUUACCAGCAGCUAGUAGUUUCCAUUGUGUAAAUCUGACUAGUUAAAAC